UACAGAGGUCUCAAGCGUUGUUCGGAUUCAUUGGGCGUAAAGGGUGCGUAGGCGGCGCGGUAAGUCGGGUGUGAAAUCUUGGAGCUUAACUCCGAAACUGCAUUCGAUACUGCCGUGCUUGAGGACUGGAGAGGAGACUGGAAUUUACGGUGUAGCGGUGAAAUGCGUAGAUAUCGUAAGGAAGACCAGUGGCGAAGGCGCUCAUCUGGCCCAAUACUGACGCUGAAGCGCGAAAGCUAGGGGAGCAAACGGG
rnacentral:rRNA from 1 species